UACGUAGGGUGCGAGCGUUAAUCGGAAUUACUGGGCGUAAAGCGUGCGCAGGCGGUUUUGUAAGACAGGUGUGAAAUCCCCGGGCUUAACCUGGGAACUGCGCUUGUGACUGCAAGACUUGAGUACGGCAGAGGGGGGUAGAAUUCCACGUGUAGCAGUGAAAUGCGUAGAGAUGUGGAGGAAUACCGAUGGCGAAGGCAGCCCCCUGGGUCGAUACUGACGCUCAUGCACGAAAGCGUGGGGAGCAAACAGGAUUAGAUACCCUGGUAGUCCACGCCCUAAACGAUGCGAACUAGGUGUUGGGGAAGGAGACUUCUUUAGUACCGUAGCUAACGCGUGAAGUUCGCCGCCUGGGGAGUACGGUCGCAAGAUUA
rnacentral:rRNA from 1 species